rnacentral:rRNA from 1 species
GAUGAACGCUAGCUACAGGCUUAACACAUGCAAGUCGCGGGGCAUCAUGGAGGUUGCUUGCAAUUUCUGAUGGCGACCGGCGCACGGGUGAGUAACGCGUAUCCAACCUUCCCAUUACUACGGCAUACCCCGUUGAAAGGCGGCCUAAUUCCGUAUGCAGUCCGAAGCAGUCAUCUAAUUUGGACGAAAGGUAUAUUCUAUCGGUAAUGGAUGGGGAUGCGUCCGAUUAGCCAGCCGGCGGGGUAACGGCCCACUGGGGCAUUGAUCGGUAGGGGUUCUGAGAGGAAGGUCCCCCACACUGGAACUGAGACACGGUCCAGACUCCUACGGGAGGCAGCAGUGAGGAAUAUUGGUCAAUGGGCGUAAGCCUGAACCAGCCAAGUAGCGUGCAGGAUGACGGCCCUAUGGGUUGUAAACUGCUUUUAUGCGGGGAUAAAGUUGGGGACGUGUCCCUUUUGCAGGUACCGCA